rnacentral:rRNA from 1 species
UUCGACCUGAAUUCAGGUGUGAUUACCUGCUGAACUUAAGCAUAUCAUUUAGCGGAGGA